AGAGGGGGACAACAGUUGGAAACGACUGCUAAUACCGCAUAAAAUAACGGAAUCGCAUGAUUCUGUUAUCAAAGGAGAAAUCCGCUGAAAGAUGGGCUCGCGUCUGAUUAGAUAGUUGGUGAGGUAACGGCCCACCAAGUCGACGAUCAGUAGCCGGACUGAGAGGUUGAACGGCCACAUUGGGACUGAGACACGGCCCAGACUCCUACGGGAGGCAGCAGUGGGGGAUAUUGGACAAUGGGGGAAACCCUGAUCCAGCGAUGCCGCGUGAGGGAAGAAGGUUUUCGGAUUGUAAACCUCUGCGGACAGGGACGAUAAUGACGGUACCUGUCAAGAAAGCCACGGCUAACUACGUGCCAGCAGCCGCGGUAAUACGUAGGUGGCGAGCGUUGUCCGGAAUUACUGGGUGUAAAGGGAGUGUAGGCGGGAAGGCAAGUCAGAAGUGAAAAUUAUGGGCUCAACCCAUAACCUGCUUUUGAAACUGUUUUUCUUGAGUGAAGCAGAGGCAAGCGGAAUUCCUAGUGUAGCGGUGAAAUGCGUAGAUAUUAGGAGGAACACCAGUGGCGAAGGCGGCUUGCUGGGCUUUUACUGACGCUGAGGCUCGAAAGCGCGGGGAGCAAACAGGAUUAGAUACCCUGGUAGUCCACGCCGUAAACGAUGAUUACUAGGUGUGGGGGGAUGAACCCUUCCGUGCCGGAGUUA
rnacentral:rRNA from 1 species